rnacentral:lncRNA from 1 species
CUCUUUCUAGACCUCAAUGCAGACUUAAACAUAUCUCCUUAGUAGGGCCUCAAAUUUUAUAGGCACAUGCCUAUAUGAUCUCAUCUACUUCUCCAUAACUUUGUCCUCUAUUAGCGCAAAUCCUACAUUUAUACCUAUAUCCAUCUCAACAUUCUCAUUUUUGAUAGUUCAUGUAUACUUAGAUUCUUUUCAUUGCUCAAAAUUCUAAACUAUACAAGACUGCAAGUGUUAUUUCCAUCUAAUAAAAAUCAG